rnacentral:misc_RNA from 1 species
GCCGGCGAAAUUAACUGUCGCGAAGUAGCACGUGUUCUCGGCUGCGCGACAGAGCGCCGCCUUUUCAUGAAACGUAUUGCGGGGAUCCGCAAAAAGCGAGGGGCGAUAAGAACCCGGGUCCGCUUCAUGAAACUGCGGGUGAAAUACGACUUGUGCGCCACGUUGCGCCGCCCAGCGAACGGUUUCCGGAUAGCGCCAUCCUUCGUGGCAGAUGACGACCCCGAAAGUGAGUUCGCCGGCCUGGAACACACGACGACCAUGUCCCGGCGCGUACGUGCCCUCCUCGCUCGGGUCGAUCUGCACUUUGUCCUGGAAGCCCGCGUGGGUUCCGUCAUCGUUGAUGACCAGGACUGUCGCCAAAAGCGUUCAAUUCACCAGACGCUCGGUGCCCAGCACGACCGUUAUGCGCGCAUUGGCCGCGGCCUCGGCGACGUCGGCCCAGGCGCGAUCGAGAAAGAGUGCGUCCGGGGGCGGUACCGAUUUGUCCUGUCCGCGAUAGCCGGGCACAAAGCACUCCGGAAAACAGAUGAUGCGCGCACGCGCGUCUGCAGCGCGAUCGAUGGCUUCGCGCGCCAGCGUGACUGAUUCGCCUGGAUUGGCAGGAAACCGCAGAUUGGCGAGCGCUAUACGAAACGGACUCACGUUCGUGACUUCUGCAGUGAGUUCCUGACCCAGGCGCUGCGCGCGGCGAGUGCGAUCGGCACGCCGAACAAAAGCAUAUGGGAAAGCAGGUCCAACGUCGUUGCCAACGGUUUGAAUGUGACCGGGUACGGAAACGCGGACAGCGGCAGCACGACGAGCCGCAUCGCGCAAAAAACGACCACGCCAAAAAGUAUUCCAGACAGUAGCGGCGUGCGCAGUAGACCAGGAAAGCGCGCUGCCGCGACCGUGAACACGGCGGCCCAACCGAACGACAUACCGAAGUGAAGCGCGAGGCCCAACGCGGCGGCCGGGAUUCCGCCGGCGAAUGCCGCGUUGCCUUGCACCCCGCUGGCCACGGUCUGCAGCAGGCGAACCGGCGCCAUGCCCCGGUGGUAAGCGAACGAGAUCGCAAAGAGGAUGUCCAGCGUGCCGGCAAUGAAACCGCCAACCAGCACUGCCCAUACCGCCGACCGAGGCUUCAUCGCGCCACUCGCAUGCUAAUCGGGCGAUGCAGGCGCCGCAGCCUCACGCCAGGCGCGCCACUGGGCCUGCCGUGCCGCACGAGCGGUGGACAAAUGCCGCGCGACUCGACCCGUGGCACUUGCCGACCAUUCUUGCGCACCAGGCUUGCGCGACGCAUCGGCGAGCGUUGGAACAAGUGUCACGACGGAAUCCGCGUUCAGUCGAUCUGCAAACACGUCGGUGCGAUUCGACGUGUCACCAUUGUUAGUGCGGGAGUCAGCGUGACAAAAGUGGUCCCGUCGCCACUCAAGCCGUGGUAAUCGCCGACGAACAAGCCGUUGGCAUUCGGUGCGUCCAGCAGGU